ACUUGAGUAGUUUAAAGGUAAGAACUGUUGCCUCAUAUGCAACAAAUGUUGGUUCAAAUCCAACCUUAAGUA